rnacentral:rRNA from 1 species
CGGACGGGUGAGUAACACGUGAGUAACCUGCCUUACACAAGGGGAUAGCCGUUGGAAACGACGAAUAAUACCCUAUGAAACUAUCGCUUCGCAUGAAGCGAUAGUCAAAGUGUUAGCGGUGUAAGAUGGACUUGCGUCUGAUUAGCUAGUUGGUGAGAAAAAAGCCCACCAAGGCAACGAUCAGUAGCCGGCUUGAGAGAGUGUACGGCCACAUUGGGACUGAGACACGGCCCAG